AAAUGAAUAGACGGGGACCCGCACAAGCAGCGGAGCAUGUGGUUUAAUUCGAAGCAACGCGAAGAACCUUACCUAGACUUGACAUCUCCUGAAUUACUCGUAAUGGAGGAAGCCCUUCGGGGCAGGAAGACAGGUGGUGCAUGGUUGUCGUCAGCUCGUGUCGUGAGAUGUUGGGUUAAGUCCCGCAACGAGCGCAACCCUUAUCGUUAGUUGCUACCAUUAAGUUGAGCACUCUAACGAGACUGCCGCGGUUAACGUGGAGGAAGGUGGGGAUGACGUCAAAUCAUCAUGCCCCUUAUGUCUAGGGCUACACACGUGCUACAAUGGCCGGUACAACGAGAUGCAAACCCGUGAGGGGGAGCCAAACUUCAAAGCCGGUCCCAGUUCGGAUUGUAGGCUGAAACUCGCCUACAUGAAGUCGGAGUUGCUAGUAAUCGCGAAUCAGCAUGUCGCGGUGAAUACGUUCCCGGGUCUUGUACACACCGCCCGU
rnacentral:rRNA from 1 species